rnacentral:piRNA from 1 species
UCAUGGUCAAUUUCAAAGAGCACGAGCCC